rnacentral:rRNA from 1 species
AUGCUCGCCUCGGCAGUCAUCAAGGUGGCAAUAGAACACUUGAAUUCUACUAUUUCAGGCGAGAUCAAGCUGCUCAGGAAUAUGAGGAAUGAUCUGGAGAACCUGAAGAUGACGCUGGAGUCGGUGGACGCUGUGCUCCGCGACGCUGAGAGGGAGUCUAUCAAGCAUAAGUCCAUCCUUCUGUGGCUGAAGCAACUUAAGGAUGUCGCGAACGACAUCUCUCACAUGCUUGAAGAUUUUGAAGAUGAAACCGACCUCAACCUGAUGUUUCAAUUGCCAAAAGAUGGUUGUUGUUUUGCGACCAGACUGACCAUCCAGCUUUAA